CAAGGUCAUACAGAUGUGUUGGUGGUGACUGGACUCCAUGUCCCAGAGCCUAGCCACCAGCUUAUGACCAUGGGAUAAAGUGUGGCAGCAGCAGAAGUUUCUGAUCUCUGGGUACCUGCUAUGGUGGUGUGACCUUCAAAUCAAUAGUCUAGAAGUGGCUUUCUAAAUUCUGUCCCUCUUAUCCUCUUAGGAUCCAAUUCUCUGAAUUAAACACAGCUUGAAAUCACUAGUAUGGUCUAUCUUGCUCUGAACCCUGAUUGAUCCAUGUGGGCUGCUAUGAACAUAAAGAAGAGAGCAGGGACACUAAAAAAGGAGCAAGUGGCUCUCUCAGAGCAAAGAAUAUACUUUUUUUUUGAAACUGAAGUGGAAAUAAAAAAGAAAGAAAAGAAACUGAAGUGAUUCUGCAUGCCUAACCUGGAAAGCCAACCAGGCUUCUAUAAGAAGAAAAAUGGUCAAGCUUUAAGCUUGGGAAGAAUUCACUGCACUGAAUAUUCAUAUGGCGUGCAUGAUACAGACACUGAACCCAAUUUAGUAAAUGAAUACUUGUAAUUUCACCAAAUCCCCGCCGAGAGAUUAUUAUGCAGAUUUAUGAAGGAAUAUCACUGAAGCAAUUCUUGGCUAUGUCUUCA
rnacentral:lncRNA from 1 species